rnacentral:rRNA from 1 species
AGGACGAACGCUGGCGGCGUGCUUAACACAUGCAAGUCGAGCGGUAAGGCCUUUCGGGGUACACGAGCGGCGAACGGGUGAGCAACACGUGGGUGAUCUGCCCUGCACUUCGGGAUAAGCCUGGGAAACUGGGUCUAAUACCGGAUAUGACCUCCUAUCGCAUGGUGGGUGGCGGAAAGAUUUAUCGGUGUAGGAUGGGCCCGGCCGGCCGUAUCAGCUUGUUGGUGGGUAAGUGCCUACCAAGGCGACGACGGGUA